rnacentral:rRNA from 1 species
CAAUAUGAAGGUCAGGCUGAAGACCUUACCCGAUUAGCUGAGAGGUGGUGCAUGGCCGCCGUCAGUUCGUACUGUGAAGCAUCCUGUUAAGUCAGGCAACGAGCGAGACCCACGUCCACAGUUGCCAGCAUACCCUCCGGGGUGAUGGGUACACUGUGGAGACCGCCGCUGCUAAAGCGGAGGAAGGAGUGGGCAACGGUAGGUCAGUAUGCCCCGAAUCUCCCGGGCUACACGCGGGCUACAAUGGUUGGUACAAUGGGCAUCUACCCCGAAAGGGGAAGGAAAUCUCUUAAAGCCAAUCGUAGUUCGGAUUGAGGGCUGCAACUCGCCCUCAUGAAGCUGGAAUCCGUAGUAAUCGCGUUUCAACAGAACGCGGUGAAUACGUCCCUGCUCCUU